AAUAGAUACCCGGGUAGUCCACGCCGUAAACGAUGGAUACUAGCUGUUCGGUCGCAAGAUUGGGUGGCUAAGCGAAAGUGAUAAGUAUCCCACCUGGGGAGUACGAACGCAAGUUUGAAACUCAAAGGAAUUGACGGGGGCCCGCACAAGCGGUGGAGCAUGUGGUUUAAUUCGAUGAUACGCGAGGAACCUUACCAAGGCUUAAAUGUAGAUUGACACGACUGGAAACAGUUUUUUCGUUCGGACAAUUUACAAGGUGCUGCAUGGUUGUCGUCAGCUCGUGCCGUGAGGUGUCAGGUUAAGUCCUAUAACGAGCGCAACCCCCUGUUGUUAGUUGCCCAGCGAGUUAGUGUCGGGAACUCUAACAAGACUGCCAGGUGUAAACUGUGAGGAAGGUGGGGAUGACGUCAAAUCAUCACGGCCCUUACGCCUUGGGCUACACACGUGCUACAAUGGCCGGUACAGAGAGCAACCGACUGCGCGAGCAGGAGCGAAUCUAUAAAAACCCGGGUCACAGUUCCGGAUCGGAGUCUGCAACUCGACUCCGGU
rnacentral:rRNA from 1 species